rnacentral:tRNA from 1 species
UGGGAUGUAGCUCAGCAGUAGAGCACUUGCCUAGCAUGCACUGGGCUCUGAGUUCCAUUCACAGCACCACAA